AAAAUAAGAAAAAAAAAUCGAUAUCCUCCCGCCAAAGGGUGAAGUGCGAAGGGGGAAGGAAAAACUGUAGAACUUGGAGAAAGGAUCGCCCACGAGUCACGACCUUCAAAGCCUGUAGACAGCAAUCACAAUCGCAAUUGCUACAAUACCUUUCUUCGGCGAUCGAAUUCGCUUGAUUUCGCAUUCGAAUCUAGUCUCUCAUUUACUGCCGAAUAUCUUCAAUUAGAGGAACUACUGCAUUUUAUUCAGUUUCUGAGGACAAGUCGAUUGAUGUUUUACAAGAAUCCCUGGUAUUUCCCUGUUAUUUUCAUAGAUGGAUGCCAAUCAAGCGGAAGAAGUUGGAUGAUAUUUUAACUGGAAGCUGAUUGAAUCAGUAUGUUCUCCAUCUUGCUCGAUUGUUCUUGGAGUCUCUAUAUGGGAUUAGUACUUUGAAAUUUAUAGUUUCCAGCUUGUUUGUUUUGUCUCUUUCUCUGGUGAUUAACGGAGGUGCUGCUGAUUCCAACGAUUUGUCGUUGAUUUGAUGUGAAUGGACCCAACAUGGUUUCCUGUAGUGGUAGAUUUUCUCAGGCAAACUCUUUCUCAGGUCUUGAAUCCGGUUGAUGUGGAUUUUCAAUCUAUAAAUCUUCCAGAUGUGUUGAUGGAGAACGUUUCAAAUAAAUCCUUCGCCUGAAGGGGAAUUCAGGUUUAUCGUACUUUUAUCGAUGAAAAGUCAUCUAAUGUUUAUUGGAUCUUUGGUUUGUAAAUCAUUUUCCUUAUAAAAUCGGAGUAAAAGCCAUCUAAGGUUUAUUGAAUCUUCGCUCUGUGAAUCAUUUUCCUUUUAAAUUGGGUUUUAGAAGGUCUAGCGUUGAACCCUUUUCUGAUUCCUAACUGUUAUGCAAGAUGUGCUUAUUAUUCUCUAGAGUCCAAAUCAGCACGAAUUUUAAAUUUCUUGCAUGUUUUUCUCCAUGUGUAUCUACUUUCCUGCCUCCGCAAGUUGCAGAGUUGUUGUGCUGACAUGAAUCUUGUUAUUGUGACCUAUAUACUUGUGAAGUGUGAACUGAUUGAUACAAAACCUGUGAAUUAGUUCAGUACAAGUUUGAUUACUCUAUGAUGUCCAUAGUAACGUUUAUGUUUGCAUCCGCUUACUAUCUUCUUUGUCUAUAUUUGCAUGUUAAAAUGAUAGCUUCAUGGAUUUGAUUGCAUAGCUCCGUAAGGGACAUGUCUCGACACCAUAUAUUGAGUUUUUGUAUAUGGUAUGGACUUAGAUUUUACGAUAAAACAUGUUUCUAGGGCACUUAUCUUCUGCUAACUGAAGUGUCUUGCUUGAAGAAUGAUACUUCCAUCUUUUGUUUUCCUCCAUUAUCUGUUUCAUAGUUUAUGGUGCACUGUAUUAUGAUGCUUCUUGGAAAGUUAGCUCGCAACUCUGAAUUUAUAUUGGCACUUGACUCCUAUUAUUUCAGUAUUGCAUUCUUAUCUAUAUACUGGAAUGCUUGUUACUUCUUGGAAAGUUGGUGAAUUGCCGUAUGGGAUGCUAAUUAGAGCAUUGUAGAACUCGUAAGCUUAUGAAAUUGAUCUCUCAGAUGAAAUUUACCAGAUCUUGACCUGAUGACUAACUAGUAACCACUUAAGACAUUUGUGUCCUAUCCAAUAAAUUUCAUAAUUCUAAUUGUUGGAUUAUCAAUGAAUAGAUUUAUUGAGUCAGUCAAAGUGUGCAUCAAUUUAUUAAAAAUAAUAAACAUAAUUUUUUGUUUGAAUGUUGUACAAAUGAUUCUAUUUUUUGGGAAGGUAAGAUUAUAAUGGAAGGGAAAAAUGUGUAUUUAAACUUUUAAAUAUUAAAGAAUCGGAUGAAUUUGUCUCAAAUUUUUUCGAUUGAGUUUCCUAACUAUGGUUGUUUUCUAGCUGUUAGUAAUUUCUAGUUCCAGUGAUAUAGUUUUUAAAUUAGUCCUUUAGUUUUCUAGAAUUUUAUUUUAUUUUUGUUGGAAUUUGAAUGGAAAUUUGAGUUUUGUGUUUGGUGACUUCGCCAAAGGUAAAGAGGCUCAGUAGUUCUCCUGUUGAGGUGAAGACAAUGAACCCGUUAUGAUAGAAUGUGGGUACCUUGGAGACCUUAGAACUUCUGCACUAUGGAAUCCUUUCGCGGAUCUCUCUCUCUCUCUCCCCUUUUUUCCUUCUCCAAACUGAUGUCACAUAUCAAAUGAAUUGAUAGCACAGCAGGAGUCAACUUGCACAUUAUUCUUUCUAACACAGGUAAAUGUGAAUACAUUGUAAUGAACUGAAAAGUAGAACCAAUGAAAAUGAUGCCUUCUGGCACUGAAAAGGAAAGUAGGAAAUGGAAACCUUUACAGGCAAGAAUCAGGGUAGAAAGUGCAGUGUACCGGCGUUUUAUUUUUUAUUUUUUUUCCUUUUUUAUUUCAUGGCAUCUGAAAAUGCAAGAAGAUUAUUGAGUGACCAGUUCAUCAGUUUUAUUGGUCCAGACAAUGCAUUUGCUUCUACUUUUAUUAAUGGAUGCGUGUGUAAAUGGUGUUUAUAGGUUUAGCUAGGUUGAAAGACUUUUAUGAUCAAAUUGAGCAUAGAUCAACUAGCUAAGACAUAUAUCAUCAAUCAAGGGGUUAGAGAAAUAUGUAAUGUGAAUUAUUUGGGUGGAGUUAGUUAUGGUGUUUGGAUUAUAUAUUAGAGAAAUACAUAAACAAAAUAGUGAAAUUAUAAGUAACUUAAAGUAAGCUAUUUACUAAUUUUUAAAUUUAGAUUAAGAUCAGCAGACUAUUGGAGAUAUGUUGAUUGACUUUAUAAUUUUCUUUAAGGAAGUCGUUCUGUAGUUGUCUAAAAAAAAAGUAUUAACAUCAGGUUGUGACAACAAAUUUAUUUCUCUACGAAAUACUUUCCUUAUCUGAAAAUAUCCAACCGUGACAUUUAGUCUGAUAUUUUCCUUUAUUGUGGCGCGACUUAUUUUCUCCUUUUUGGGAGAUGUUUCCUUUUCUGGAUUCAUCUAUAAAAGGAGUAUCUUGGUUUACUUUCGGUAAACAGUUUUAUUAUGCCGAUUUGUGUUUUGAGAGAAAGACGUUUGCAGUAUUCCGGCCAAAUUGUUCUACUUUGUGUUCUUAAUAAUUGCUCACUUUAUUCCAUUGUGUAAGUUCUCAAUCCAUUGAUUGCAACACUUUGAAGAUUAUCGUGGCCUAAGGGGAGCCUAAGCCAUAGCUACCAGAGAAGGGAUUCUCAGUCUUAGGGGAGCCUAAGACUCAGCUUCAAAUAAAGAGUUCUCUAUCUUAGAAGGACCUAAGGUUUGUCAGUGAAAGGAGUUUGUUGAUUCAAAAGAAGGAUAAUCAAGUUGAGAGGAGACUCACACAUUAUCAGGUGCCGAAGUGUCAGACGGUAAUAUUAACAUACUUAGGGGGAGUCUAAGUUCAGUAGAAAGUGAGUCUCACAUCUAGGGGGAACCUAGGCGACGUGUGAGUUAAGCUCUACAUGAGCUACUGUAGUAGUUGAUGUAUUACAGAUAAGUAUUACGUUGCAAACUGCUUAACUCUUUAAUAUUAGUGGAUUAUCUUUCCUCGACACUCUGCCCCUUAGACGUAGGUGUUUAUCGUUGAAAUGGGUUACUGUUGAAAGUAGAGUUUAAGCUCUAGGGGCAUUUAUGUCUUUUUAUUGUACUUUAGGGUUUCCUACAUUUCUAUUUCAACAUACAACCUUUGUGUAUCCAAUGUAUCAAUUCUAAUAAGAAAACUUCAUAGCGUGGUUUUUUCUCCUUGUAUUAGGGUUUUCCACGUUACUCUGUGUACCCUUUUUCUCUUUCUACUCUCCCUUUUUCAUCAUGGUAUCAGAGCAUGGAGACAAAACUCGGGCCACCAUUGAGGAAAACCCAACAGGAGAAUCGCAAUUGUCAGUAGUUGACAAUAAUGACACAGAUAUAGCUAUUUUUGUGCAAAAUGCCAUAGAAUGGUAUUAUUAGACUGCUUUUCCACAUCUUCACCAAAGUGACCAGCCGAACGAACAGCAGCUGGCCAAAGUAGAAACUCAUGGUGUGCUGCCGAUCAGCGUGAUCCAUGCCGCACAACAGCUGCUAACCUCACGGAUCAACGCGCAGCAGCUCACGUAGCGAUCGGCAUGAUCUAACCAGUGCAGCCCAUUCGAUCGACGAUGUCCAACCAGCGCAACCUCAUUGGCGCGAUCCCAGUUAAUUGUCGACCUCCAGCCGGUGCACCCAUUCCAGCAAGUUGGACUCAGCCAAGGUUCUCGAUUCCAACCAACGCAGCCUUCCAUUCUGCUGGAACUGAUCCAAUCUGAGGCUGCCACCUCACAUCGACCAACGAUAGCUCUCCGUUCCAGCUGUAUUUGAACAGUGGCCUGGGUCAGUCAUCUCCUAUAAUUGGUGGAUUCGAAAUUGAGGAGUCACCAUCUCACCAUCAAGGAUAAGCCAGUGCAAUCCAAGACCAAUUCACUCAACUCCAACUUCAGAUUAAACAGCAGAAAGAGUAUGUUCAGCAACAGAUAGCUGCUCUCGGAGAAGCACUGGGAACGACCUCAAAUGUCCAGUCAUACCUUCUUUUAAAUCCAUCUAUUUACUCUGGAAAUUCGGCAACCUCUUUCCCUUCCUUAUCUAUAGCAAAUUUAUUUUUUUUGGGCAAUGGGAAAUUCUGUAGGUUUUUUUGUAGGGGAGAAAUUCAAUGGUCAGAACUACUUUUCAUGGUCUCAAUCCAUUAAAAUGGCCCUUGAGGGUCGUCAUAAAUUCGGAUACUUAUCAGGCAAAAUACCGAAACCGAGACCGGGUGAUCCUCAAGAACGUAUAUGGAAGGGAGAGGAUUCUUUACUUCGGUCUAUUCUAGUAGGUAAUAUAGAGCCUCAAAUCGGAAAACCCCUACUGUAUGUUGCCACUACGCAAGACAUUUGAGAGGUUGUUCAGAAGAUGUACUCCAAAUGAUAGAAUGCUUCAUGGCUCUAUACUUUACGCAAACAAGUCCAUAAAUGCAAGUAGGGAACGAUGGAUGUUACACUUACUUCAACAAGUUGUCUCUUCUUUGGCAAGAAAUGGACCUAUGUUACGAGAUGGUCUGGAAUUGUUCUUGUAGGGGAGUCUUACAUUACGAGUCUCAGGAAAUUGACCGAGUCUAUGAUUUUCUUACGGGACCGAAUUCUAAGUUUAACACGGUACGGAGUUGGAUACUGGGACACCAUUCAAUACCAUUCCUGAUGGAAGUUUGUUCUGAAAUCCACCUCGAGGAAGACAGAUCCAAUGCUAUGAAUAAUAUGCUGAUUUCGUCAACUGGCUCUGUUGCAUUUAAAACGUCAAGUCCAUUCCAUAACAAACAGAACGGCAAGCCAACUCCAGUAUGUGAACACUGCAAGAAGCUCUGGCACACCAAAGACUAGUGUUGGAAGUUGCAUGGUCAUCCACCUAAUGGCAAACUAUGGCAGUCAGGUUCUGGAUGAGCAUUGGAAAGUGAAUCAGCAACCAGGGGUCCUCAACCUUAGAGUCGGGAAACUAGCCACAGUAGCUCUAGUGCAGUGGGUGUGAGCGCGAUCGCCCAAUUAGAUACUCUUUAAUCUUUUGGCGUUGUUAGUAUAACUGGUAGCAAGCCGUGGAUUCUAGAUUCAGGGGCUAUAGACCACUUACCUGGCUCUUCCGACCAGUUUAUUUCAUACUAUCCAAGUGCUGGAAAUGAAAGAAUCAAAAUUGCUGAUGGGUUUUUUGAUCCUAUGGCUGGGAAAGACCGCUUUUCUCCCUUUGAGGGUUUGAUUUUACAAGAUGUGCGACAUGUUCCUAAAAUCUAUUAUAAUCUAUUAUUUGUUAGCAAGAUUACAAGAGAUUCGAAAUGUCGAGUUACUUUCUCACCUGAUGUUGUUGUUUUUCAAUACCUAAACUCGAGAACGACGAUUGACACUGUCCGACAUGAUAGGAGGCUCUAUUUCCUUACUGAAUAUGCUUCAUCUAGGAUAUGUGAAGGGACUAGUUUACUUUCAUCAUGUUUUUCUACUUCUGAAUAGGGUUGGCAAUGGGCUCGGGGUGGGGCAUCCUCCAUCCCGGGCCCUGGGGGGAAA